rnacentral:lncRNA from 1 species
GUGCCUGGCCGUAUUUCCCAGGCUCAAAGAAAAUUGAAAGGACAUUUGGAAACCACAACAAAGUGAAGUGAACGGGCUGACCCUAGAUGUUUUGUUACCCGAAAGCGGAGGAUGACGAAGCAGCAGUCACCGUCUGUCGGUAGAAGAUGAGGAUGAAGAGCAAUGAAGGCAGCAUCCGCCUACGAUUAGAGCACUGACAGGACUCGGAUGGAUGCGGAAACGGUGCGCAAUAGCCGGUCGACGAAAAGAAGCGGCCCAUUGGCAUCAACUGCAGGAAGAGAAUGUCAGAAUACUAUAGCUGAAGCACGCCAAAAUGUUUGAUCGUCGGAUGAAGAUCAUCUCGGAAAAUACCUUUCCUUCAACGCUGUCAGUGCUGCAGUGCGAUCCUGGAUGGAAGAAUUUCUUGUCCGUCGAUCGGUCUGACCUGGACUCCACUAUCCUGGCCGAGAGAGAGACGCGCAACAUAUAUAUAUGUAUGUGUGUGUGUAAGAGCAUCGAGGGGUCGACUGCACAUGUGGCAGCACGUCAAAGCUAGCUCAUACCCCUCGGUAACCACUGACCCUCUCACGAGCUCCUUCUAGGAAGGUCCCAGACUCUCUCGGUAUAAAAAAGCCAUCCACCGCUCUCUACACCCACUAAACAAGACGGCCCACUCGUAAUCUUUUUAUAUUCUCAAACUGUGAAAAAGAAUGCAGCCGCGCCGAGCGUAUAUACAGGCAGCUGCAUCGGCCUGAAACUUUGCCCCCCAAGAAAAGCGAACGCCGCCAAAACAAGACGCAACUUCGCCAAACAUCAAUACCGAAAACGAUUCAACAAUCAGAUCCAAAAGAUUAUUCGGAACGAAAAAAAAUUUCAAAAACGGAAAGGGCCUUUUUGUCAUCGAUCCAAUUAGCAGAAAGCGCUGGUCUGUUUGACAGGAAACGUUAAAAAGCUCCCGGUUGGCCGCUAGUGUUUAGUUUAUAAACGGUGGGAGGGGAGUCACACGGUUGAGUAAGAAACAAGAAUCAAAGCGAAGGAGCCCACACACGUGAUGAGAUACAGGCGUUGUCUCGUUCCCAGCAGAACAAGCGCAAGAGAGAAGGAAGCCGCCCGCGCCCAUCCACAGAUCGUCGCUCAAGGAUUGUCUCAAUCAGCAUCUUUUUUCUUUCUUGUUCUGUUUUUGUUUGCCAGAAGACUGAUGCUGCAUGAGACGGAUCGCGUUUCAAUUUCCAUAAGCUGUUGCCGGUGCAAAGUAUAUACGGCGCUACUUGUUGUAUACGACACGGCAGUCCUCUCUCUCUUUUUUCUAUCCACCCUCUUCUCUUCUUCACCGAAAAAUUUCGCUUUCUCUUUUUUAGUUUCUUUAUUUUUUUUUACAGUCGACUAACUAAGGAGGACCAACCAGACAUGCUAAAGUUUACAAACCACUGGAUAUACAACCUUUCCCCAAAAUAGAUUUCGUGGAUAUGCAACACACAACACGCUUCCGAUUAGUUGUCAACAAGCUGGGGCAAAAAUUAUGAUAGCAAAUUGAUUAUUCUGUUCAGAUUCACCGUGAUUCUCCUUUUAAAGAAAAUGUUAUCCUGUUCUUGCAAAUGAGGUCGUCAUCACAGAUCAACUAGCGACAAGGUUGUUUGCGGUGUAUUUUUAAGUUAUUGUUUUACUAAUUUUAGUGACAUGUCCUUGAUAGUCUUCUCUAAAUAGGAAUGAUGAUUCACAACUCAGAAAACCUGUUAAUUGGAUGAUUAAUGCACAUGUCGAGUUGGA